AGAGUUCGAUUAUGGCUCAGGAUGAACGCUAGCUACAGGCUUAACACAUGCAAGUCGAGGGGCAGCAUGUCGGUUGCUUGCAACCGAUGAUGGCGACCGGCGCACGGGUGAGUAACGCGUAUCCAACCUACCCUUGUCCAUCGGAUAACCCGUCGAAAGGCGGCCUAACACGAUAUGCGGUUCACCGCAGGCAUCUAACGUGAACGAAAUGUGAAGGAGAAGGAUGGGGAUGCGUCUGAUUAGCUUGUUGGCGGGGUAACGGCCCACCAAGGCGACGAUCAGUAGGGGUUCUGAGAGGAAGGUCCCCCACAUUGGAACUGAGACACGGUCCAA
rnacentral:rRNA from 1 species